rnacentral:rRNA from 1 species
GACGAACGCUGGCGGCGUGCCUAAUACAUGCAAGUAGAACGCAGUUGCGAACGGGUGAGUAACGCGUAGGUAACUGCCUGGUAGCGGGGGAUAACUAUUGGAGACGAUAGCUAAUACCGCAUACUACCAGAUGGACCUGCGUUGUAUUAGCUAGUUGGUGAGGUAACGGCGCACCAAGGCAACGGUACAUAGCCGGCCUGGGAGGGUGAACGGCCACCCGGGGACUUGGACACCGCCCAGACUCCUACCGGAGGCAGCAGUAGGGAAUUUUUGGCAAUGGGGGGAACCCUGACCGAGCAACGCCGCGGGAGGUAAGAAGUUUUUCGGAGCGUUAAGCUCUGUUGUGAAGGAAGCGGUACUUAACCAGAAAGGGACGGCUAACUACGUGCCAGCAGCCGCGGUAAUAC